GAUCAUGGCUCAGAACGAACGCUGGCGGCAUGCCUAACACAUGCAAGUCGAACGAGACCUUCGGGGUCUAGUGGCGCACGGGUGCGUAACGCGUGGGAAUCUGCCCUUGGGUUCGGAAUAACAGUUAGAAAUGACUGCUAAUACCGGAUGAUGUCUUCGGACCAAAGAUUUAUCGCCCAGGGAUGAGCCCGCGUAGGAUUAGCUAGUUGGUGGGGUAAAGGCCUACCAAGGCGACGAUCCUUAGCUGGUCUGAGAGGAUGAUCAGCCACACUGGGACUGAGACACGGCCCAGACUCCUACGGGAGGCAGCAGUGGGGAAUAUUGGACAAUGGGCGAAAGCCUGAUCCAGCAAUGCCGCGUGAGUGAUGAAGGCCUUAGGGUUGUAAAGCUCUUUUACCCGGGAUGAUAAUGACAGUACCGGGAGAAUAAGCCCCGGCUAACUCCGUG
rnacentral:rRNA from 1 species